AGUAACGCGUGAGGAACCUGCCUCAAAGAGGGGGACAACAGUUGGGAACGACUGCUAAUACCGCAUAAGCCCACGGCUCGGCAUCGAGCAGAGGGAAAAGGAGUGAUCCGCUUUGAGAUGGCCUCGCGUCCGAUUAGCUAGUUGGUGAGGUAAUGGCCCACCAAGGCGACGAUCGGUAGCCGGACUGAGAGGUUGAACGGCCACAUUGGGACUGAGACACGGCCCAG
rnacentral:rRNA from 1 species